rnacentral:lncRNA from 10 species
UUUUUUUUGAGACAGAGUCUCACUCUGUCACCCAGGCUGGAGUGCAGUGAUGCAGUCUCGGCUCACUGCAACCUCCACCGACCAGGUUCAAAUGAUUCCCCUGCCUCAGCCACCCCAGUAGCUGGGAUUAGACAUGUGCCACCAGGCCCAGCUAAUUUUUAUAUUUUUAGUAGAGAUGGGGUUUCACCAUGUUGGCCAGGCUGGUCUCAAACUCCUGACCUCAGGGGAUCCUCCUGCCUCAGCUUCCUGGAAUGCUGGGAUUAGAGGCGUGAGCCACCGCGCCCGGCUCCUCCUUGUCUCUGAUGGUCUGUGAUGCCCCAGGGCCUGCCUAGGUGUGGAUUUCUGUGCAUUCGCUCUGCUUGGUCUACAUGUGCUUCCUGUAUCUGAAAAAUCGUGCCUUCAUCAGUUCAGGAGGUCCUCAGGCAUCCUCUCUUCCCAGGAGGCUUCUCCUGUUCUCUCCUUUGGGGAUGGGGGCCAAAGCCCUAUUUUAUGAAGGUUCUCAUUCUGUCCUUACAUCUUUUCACGCCUAUUUCACAUUUUUCACCUCCUUUACUGUCACUGGAUGAUUUCUUCACAUUGAUGUCUGGUGUACCCAUUCUCUCAUUAACUGUGUCUAAUCUGAUACAAAAUCCAUCCAUACGGUUUUGCUUUAAAAUAUCUACAGUUUUCACUGAGAGCAGUUCUACUUGGUUCUGUACCCAUUCUCAUUAACUGUAUCUAAUCUGAUACAAAACCUGUCUGUAAGUUUUUGCUUUAAAAUAUCUACAGUUCUCACUGAGAGCAGUUCUACUUGGUUCUCUUUCAAGUCGGGGCACAGUGGGUCAUCUUCAGUCCACAUCUGCUGUUUACGUUGUCAUUCUUGAUUAUGAAUUCAUAUUUAAUUUUCCUUAAUCUGUGGGAUUCUUCAGGCCUGAAUGAGACUUUCUCCAGAGUGUACUUUCGUUUGCCUCUGCUGAAACCCAAGGGUCACUGUUAACCCUAGCUUGUCUCGCGCCCUCGCUCAAGAGUCCUGGUUUAGCUUCAGCGCCCUCUGCUACAGCUGCCCAAGGGUUAGGCUCCUGAAAGGCAGUGCUGACAUUCCAUUUCUGCACACCCCGGUUUUUGCUAAAGGGAUUUGGUGGAAGGGUGGAGCUGAGAGGUUUUUGUUUCCUUACUGUGAGCCCAGAAAUGCAUUAAAAAGCCAGUUUCAGGCAGGAUUUAGCUGUUUUGUAGUAUUUUAGCUUCAGAAUACUGCUAGAAAGUAGGAGUCUGUAAUUUAGUUUUCAUCAGUUAAUAUUUGCCCUUUUUGUAUGUAUUCAUCUUAUCCAGUUAUACUCAUGAAUAACUCAUUUGUAUAUUUUAUAUUAUAGGAUUUCCAAUUCUCCCUUCCCACAGAAAAAAGCAGCAGCCUUUCAUUUAAAAAAGGAAACAAACUGGCCGGGCGCGGUGGCUCACGCCUGUAAUCCCAGCACUUUCGGAGGCCGAGGUGGGCAGAUCACGAGGUCAGGAGAUCAAAACCAUCCUGGCUAACACAGUGAAACCCCGUCUCUACUAAAAAUACAAAAAAAAUUAGCCAGGAGUGGUGGCGGGUGCCUGUAGUCCCAGCUACUCGGGAGGCUGAGGCAGGAGAAUGGCGUGAACCCAGGAGGCAGAGCUUGCAGUGAGCCGAGAUCGCACCACUGCACUCCAGCCUGGGCAACAGAGCGAGACUCAGUCUCAAAAAAAAAAAAAAAGAGAAAAAACAAACCAGGAACUGAAGCUAUAACACAUUUAAGACAAGCUAGUCUAAGGGCUGGGUUACUAGUCUCUCUGCAGACAGUGGGGUGUCGCAGGCAUGAAAAGUUAGCUGACAUAAACAGCCUUUUCAGCAGUGCUACCGGCUCCUGAACUGGAAGGAGAUCGUGCAGACAAGGUUACAGGCCAGCCAUUUCCCAUAUGAGACAAAGUGUCUAUGCGCUCACCAUUUCCUACAUGAGACAAAGUGUAUACGCGCUCACCGUUUUCCAUAUGAGACAAAGUGUAUGUGGGUUCACCAUUUCCCACAUGAGACAAAGUAUCUAUGCGCUCACCAUUUCCCACAUGAGACAAAGCGUAUACGCGCUCACCGUUUCCCAUAUGAGACAAAGUGUAUGUGGGUUCACCAUUUCCCACGAGACAAAGUGUCUACGCGCUCACUGUUUUCCAUAUGAGACAAAGUGUAUACGCGCUCACCGUUUCCCACGAGACAAAGUGUCUACGCGUUCACUGUUUUCCAUAUGAGACAAAGUGUCUACGUGCUCACCCUUUCCCACAUGAGACAAAGUGUCUAUGCGCUCACCGUUUCCCAUAUGAGACAAAGUGUAUGUGGGUUCACCAUUUCUCACGUGAGACAAAGUGUCUACGCGCUUACCGUUUCCCACGAGACAAAGUGUCUAUGCGCUCACCGUUUCCCAUAUGAGACGAAGUGUCUAUGCGCUCAUGCAAAAACAUGGAAACAGCAUGAGAGUGUGAAAUAAAACGUAAGAAUCCCCUCCUUUCCCCACUCCCUGGAUAUCAGCAUCACGCAGUUUUCUCGGGCAUCCUUCUGAGAUUUUUGUUUUCUUUUUUUUUUUUUUUAGACAGAGUCUUGCUCUGUUGCCCAGGCUGGAGUGGUGCAGUGGUGUGAUCUCAGCUCACUG